AACGCACAUUGCGCCUUUUGGUAAUCCAAAAGGCAUGCCUGUCUGAGUGUUGGUACAUUAUUUAAACACACUGUUUUCUUCAUAAGAUUAUGGUAAUGUUUAGUAUUGAUGGUGGACUGUACUGGUUUUUGUAACUAGUGAUUGUCCCUGUUGUAAUGCAUUGUACCCAAGUGUCUGGUCUAAAAAUUAGUUGUCGCAAGCAUUGUCUUUUCAACUUUAAUUUUGUAUGGACAUUUUGGAAAUCUAAAUAACCAAAGACUUGUCUUUAGUUUUUAAAGUUAACCUCAGAUCAGGUAGGAAUACCCGCUGAACUUAA
rnacentral:misc_RNA from 1 species